rnacentral:rRNA from 1 species
UAAGGAAUAUUGGACAAUGGAGGCAACUCUGAUCCAGCCAUGCCGCGUGAAGGAAUAAGGCCCUAUGGGUUGUAAACUUCUUUUAGACGGGACAAAACCCCUUUACGUGUAAAGGGUUGAUGGUACUGUCAGAAUAAGCAUCGGCUAACUUCGUGCCAGCAGCCGCGGUAAUACGAAGGAUGCAAGCGUUAUCCGGAAUUAUUGGGUUUAAAGGGUGCGUAGGCGGACUAAUAAGUCAGUGGUGAAAGCCUGCAGCUUAACUGCAGAAUUGCCAUUGAUACUGUUAGUCUUGAGUACAGUUGAGGUAGGCGGAAUGUGUCAUGUAGCGGUGAAAUGCCUAGAUAUGACACAGAACACCGAUUGCGAAGGCAGCUUGCUAAGCUGUAACUGACGCUGAGGCACGAAAGCGUGGGGAGCAAACA